rnacentral:rRNA from 1 species
CCUACGGGCGGCAGCAGUGGGGAAUAUUGGGCAAUGGGCGCAAGCCUGACCCAGCAACGCCGCGUGAAGGAAGAAGGCUUUCGGGUUGUAAACUUCUUUUCUCAGGGACGAAGAAAGUGACGGUACCUGAGGAAUAAGCCACGGCUAACUACGUGCCAGCAGCCGCGGUAAUACGUAGGUGGCAAGCGUUAUCCGGAUUUACUGGGUUUAAAGGGCGUGUAGGCGGGAAAGCAAGUCAGAUGUGAAAACCAUGGGCUCAACCUGUGGCCUGCAUUUGAAACUGUUUUUCUUGAGUACUGGGGAGGCAGACGGAAUUCCUAGUGUAGCGGUGAAAUGCGUAGAUAUUAGGAGGAACACCAGUGGCGAAGGCGGUCUGCUGGACAGCAACUGACGCUGAGGCGCGAAAGCGUGGGGAGCAAACAGGAUUAGAUACCCUGGUAGUC